GACGAACGCUGGCGGCGUGCUUAACACAUGCAAGUCGAACGGAAAGGCCCUGCUUUUGUGGGGUGCUCGAGUGGCGAACGGGUGAGUAACACGUGAGUAACCUGCCCUUGACUUUGGGAUAACUUCAGGAAACUGGGGCUAAUACCGGAUAGGAGCUCCUGCUGCAUGGUGGGGGUUGGAAAGUUUCGGCGGUUGGGGAUGGACUCGCGGCUUAUCAGCUUGUUGGUGGGGUAGUGGCUUACCAAGGCUUUGACGGGUAGCCGGCCUGAGAGGGUGACCGGUCACAUUGGGACUGAGAUACGGCCCAGACUCCUACGGGAGGCAGCAGUGGGGAAUAUUGCACAAUGGGCGGAAGCCUGACGCAGCAACGCCGCGUGCGGGAUGACGGCCUUCGGGUUGUAAACCGCUUUCGCCUGUGACGAAGCGUGAGUGACGGUAAUGGGUAAAGAAGCACCGGCUAACUACGUG
rnacentral:rRNA from 1 species